rnacentral:rRNA from 1 species
GACGAACGCUGGCGGCGUGCUUAACACAUGCAAGUCGAACGGAAAGGCCCUGCUUUUGUGGGGUGCUCGAGUGGCGAACGGGUGAGUAACACGUGAGUAACCUGCCCUUGACUUUGGGAUAACUUCAGGAAACUGGGGCUAAUACCGGAUAGGAGCUCCUGCUGCAUGGUGGGGGUUGGAAAGUUUCGGCGGUUGGGGAUGGAAUCGCGGCUUAUCAGCUUGUUGGUGGGGUAGUGGCUUACCAAGGCUUUGACGGGUAGCCGGCCUGAGAGGGUGACCGGCCACAUUGGGACUGAGAUACGGCCCAGACUCCUACGGGAGGCAGCAGUGGGGAAUAUUGCCCAAUGGGCGGAAGCCUGAUGCAGCAACGCCGCGUGCGGGAUGACGGCCUUCGGGUUGUAAACCGCUUUCGCCUGUGACGAAGCGUGAGUGACGGUAAUGGGUAAAGAAGCACCGGCUAACUACGUG